CUCAAAGCAGAUGAAGUUGCAGUUUUUGUGCUACGUCUGCUGCUUUUCUUACUUCCACUCUGUUUCUGAAGACAAAGUUAUUGGGGUCACCAAUAAUAAUGCAAAACAUUGUAGUGUUAUGUCUUGGGAAAAAGUGGCAGCUUCAGGAAAUUAUGGAACAGAACAUAAUAAUUUCAGUUGAGAUCAGUAAGUUUUUGUUGUGGUAUAUCUAAGGCAAGCAGGCAAGAAGUUAGGUGAAUGCAGAAGGCCAGCAUACCAGGUGCCACAAAUGAGAGAGAUAAUUUGCACCUGUAGGGGAACUGUUAUGUCAGGGCCUGAACUGAUGAUUGAGCACCUGGUGAAGGGGGUGGCUGGCUCUGGAAGUACAGACACAAGUGAUUGACUUCAUUGAGGUGCUUCCCACCUCAUUGGGAGGGGUGAGCCACCCCUCCCUGGGCUCAUUUAAGGGCUAGCCUCCAAAGGGAGAACACGUCCUGGAUGAGGACUGCCUCCUGAGAAGGAAUGUUCCACUGUUAUGAGAUGCUCAUCAGCUGGAUAUGCCAUCUGGCAAGGUAAUUUUAGGAUGAAAAGGAUUGCAUUGGUUCUUGAAGGACCGUUCUGCUGCCCCUAUCAGCGCUCUUAGUAACUGGCACAGUACAGAGGCAAACUCACUUGGUUUUGCAAAGACAAUAAUAAUUUAAACACACGAGAGGACUUUUGAUGCUUUCCGCUCAAGAUCAUUGCUAUAAGGCCACCGUGCUAGAUAAAACUUCUUUAAGGCACCUGAGAGAGAGAGGGAAAGAACACCUCCAGAGAGCAGCCUGCUGAUAGAACCUACUUCUAACAAUAUGUGAGAGAGCAGCAAGUUAUCAGGCAUAGGGACAGAAGGGGAAGAUGAAGAUAGCUUUCUUGUUCCAUGAGAAGUGGGAGGUGAAGCGGCAAAGAAGACAGGAAGGCUGAUUUGGGAAGAUAACACAGCAGUUUACAACAAUGGAGGACAAGAAAUCCUUGAAGAUUAAAAGCAUGAAAGAGCGCAGAGAAACACAGGAAGGCUUGUCUCUGCAGUCAGGCGACGAUGAGGACAUGAAGAUGUAUAACUGUCCCAGGUGUGAGAACAUCACAGUUUACCCCCUCAGGACUUGUAACAGGCUUGCCAGAAGGAGAGUGAAAUAGGAGAUUCCAUUUAUUGGCCCUGGAGACUGACAAGGAACCGACACCUGUGCCCAAAUGUUUUCUGAACCUUGGCAGCAACAGGCGUAUUCAUUAUGCAGCAGUUGCAGAUCCAAGUGUGCUCAAGGCACGGGAGAGCAGCAACCUUCUCCCUUGCAAGGAAAAACAGGUUAAGUAGCAAAACAGCUGGUGCAGUGGAAUCCCUAACAUGUUCCAUCUUCAAGAAAACUGGUGCUUCUGACUGUGUGUCACAAGUGCAAGCUGCAAUUUAUGGCAAAGUGGCGUGACCUCAAAAACAGUAGACAGAAUAUAUUAUGUCAUUUGCACUACCAUGGUUACAGGAGGAAGGAGAAGUUUCUGUAGUCUGUCAGUUGCUCAUGGCUAAGGAAAGAGUGUAUUAUUGAUCUGCUUUCAUUUUAAUGAGAAGAGUAUGGAAAUAUGAGUAAGAAAACUUGUGUUUCUUUCCAAAUAUGCUCUUAUGGUCCCGAGCAGAAGAUGAAAGCUGGUUGGGCUUUGUUACUAAUGCGAGUUUGAAGGUUGAGCCUUGCAUAUGGCAUACUGAAGUUUGUGUCCUGUUAAAGGAAAAUUGAUCUUUCUGCACUACGAAGAAGCCUGUCUGUGCAGGAGAGGGCUUUCUCAGAGGCUGGUUUCAAUGACUCAAGUGGACAAUAUGUUUAUCUUCUUGGAUGGUGAAUAUAAUAAGCUGAAGUGAAUAUAAUAAGAUUGCACUGAAGGAGCAGAAAUAAUGUAGCAGCAACCUUUGGGGAUAUCAGAACUGUGACAAAACCCUGGCCUCUUCUGUUUCCAGCAUCAGCAAUGCAAUAGUAGUUGUGGUGUCUUGAAUUAGUUGGAUGCUGCAAGCAUGGAGAGUAUUGAAUGAAAUCCUUUUCUGCAUCUUUAAUCUGUUUUACGGAGUGCAUCUUCAAAAGGCAGGAAAGUACAGAGGAAGGCAACCUUGUUUUACAUGCGUUGGAUUCAGAGAGUCAUCUAUAGUGGUUAUUCCAGAAGCUCAGACUGCUGCUGUCUUUCUUUUCCUGCUCCCAGCAUGGUUUCUGCAGCAAAGAAACUGUGAAGUACUAAGGGAGAAGUGCAGCUACCAAGACUUGAAACGUUUAAAAGAAGGCUGUGAUUCAGCAUGCUCCUGCUCAUGGACCUGAUGCACGUUUUGCCAGUUGCUGACUACUGAGAGACAUGAUGUGAGGAGGCCAGACCUGAACAAAUUCCCUGGGUUGUGAAUCAUGUGGAAGCUCUGUGGGGGAACUGCACCUCUUGUUCAGUAUAGACAGUUGUGAACCUGCUGACUGCAUCUUUCUCCAUCUUUACAAUAGAGUAAUGCUGAUUCUCAAGUCUGUCUGCUCCACUGUGAACUCCAAAACAUUAAGUAAGGCAAAAUUGCUCAAAACUUGCAUUGAACUGGUUGCCAGAAUGGUCCAAUUAGAGAACAAAACCACACCAGGCCUCUUAACUAGCCACAUUGCAGUGCUCAAAGUUUCACUAACAGCUUCUUAGGAAGAUAACCAAUAUGAAUGCUGCCAAAAAAUGAAAAUCUGUCAAACACAGCUGGUCUCCCUAGACAGUUUGGGAGUGCCACCAGAGAAAUAUGGGAAGAAAGAUAAAAGACUUCUGUGUAACUGAACUGCUUCAUAGAUGCAAGAGUCCUGAAGAAUUGUCCUAAAACUAUGUUCACUGGCUCUAUCACAUCUUAAAUUGUAUUACAGGAAAUUCAUCUUGGUCAAGUUGGUAUACGUCUGUUACAUAGCUUCCACUGAGCUGAAUGCCAAAGUCACAACAGAUGUUGUCUGAAGGAAAGCAAUGCCAUUUAUUAUCACACUGGAUGUUAAAGAUAGAACCAUAUUCAUUGUAAGAAUCUGAUGAAGAAGCUCUUGAAUGCUAAUGCUGUCCUGUAAAAAAACUGUGCUAGAAGCCGUUGACAACAAUGACUGAUAAUGAGUGAAUGUUCAUGUGGUCUGUUACACAACACUAAGCUCUUAUUUCACUGUCUGCAGUUAUGUUCAGGCCUUCAAACUCCUCUCUCUUGGAGAUGGGAAAAGACGAUGGAAGCCAUAUGGACAGAUUCAGAGGGAGAGGAUAAGGGGACCAGGAGAAGCCCACAGAGAUCUUUCCUAAAGGAUGAGUGAGAUGAAACUGAAGGAAUUAACACCCACUGCCUUCUCCCUUCUUUGGACAGUGAAUACACAGACUUUAAAAAAAAAAAAAGAAGAAAAAAAAAGUGUUUUGCUUUAAGUGAUGGUGCCUCCAAAUGCCCCCAUGAAGUCAUUUUCCAGCUUAAAGCAUCAGGUGUGGAGAAACAGAAGCAGCUCCAGAAACUGUUGAAUGGCAAAAGGAUUCCCUUGGCCUUUGAUAUACUCAGACAUGUCAUCAAAAUGGUGCUGUGACAUCUUGUACUACAGAAACAAUAGGAAAGUGCAGAACUAUGCAAACUGAGCAAAAGCAAGCAGAAGCCAAAUGUACACUGCAGUGCAAUUAUGUUAUUUGCCCUCAGGGCAGGAAUCACAGUUGAAGCACUUCCUGUUCUGCAGAACACACCUAUACAAGCUGUCCAAGUGGCCUGUACUGUUCAAGGGAGCGUUGCCAGCAAUACAGGUUUAAUGCAUACAUAUACGAUGUUAAGGGUGUGCAUUCUUCUGCUUCCCACAGCUGCACAGCUCACAUGAUGAAAUCUUAUGCUUCUGUGCCUAGCAAUGAAGUUUUAAUCACCUCAAUAUACAUCGUUCCACAAUAUAUAUUUUUCUGUCUACCAAAGACAUAAUGGCUCCUCCUUUUAUGGGAAACCAGGAUUUAAUCCAGAUUUUGUAAUAGAUGACAACCUCAGAAGAAAAAAAAAAGAAGCAGUGUUCUUUUUUCUACUAUUUAAGAUUGUUUAAACAAUAAAUAUAUAGCAUGUUUCAUAAUGACAUUGAAGUAACCAAGAGAAGGAGGCAUGGUGCUCUGGAUAAUGCUAUAUGCGGAUGUAUUCCUGUGUGGCUUUUCUUCCCAAUGCCAGUUAACCACCCACCCAAAGCCAUAAAAAAAAGCAAUAGGAAUGGGUAGGAGAGGAUGGAGUAAUGUAAGUACAGAGGUUGAAAAAGAGUAAGUAACAAGGAAGGAGACAAAGAAAUAAAACAGUCCAAAGCACAGGGAGCAUAGGAAUAUCUCACUUGAGACCUCAAAAAAAUACAAAAUCCUCAUCGAUUCAAUGAACUUUCAUAGUAUUACUCCAGAUUUAUAAUGAUGUAACUAAAAACAGAAAGUGGUCUAACCUCAGCUUAAAGAAUAGGAAAAAGUGCAUUAGGAACAAUAUGAAUUUUAUAGAGGAUCUGCACUGUGAUGUGAAGUACUGGUUAGUCUGAAUUUUCUGCUGCACUAUCAUUACCUAUCAUGACUGCCUGGUUACUAAAGGCUUAAUUGGUCUCCAGGCUAGUAUCUGAAGUUUUCAUUUUAGUGUAAGGUGAAUCUUGCAUACUUGAAAGUUUAAUUUAGUAUAAAAAAACUGAUGUUUUACCAGCUAGCAGAUGAUCAAACUUUCCUAUUUUCUUCCUUUUUGUUUAUACCCUUUGCGUGAUAACACAUAAAGCCAACCCCUCACUUUCUACCAACAAUAGGGAUGUACAUUACCUGCAUCAUAAAUCUUAACACUUGUGUGUUUUUCAGGCAAAUAAAUGACAGAAUCAGAGACCAUCUACUGUCCUGCUCCAUGGUCCCAUGGCAGAAAGUGAAACUCUGAACAAUUAAGGCAGCACAGACAUCCUGCCCUAAAGGACUUUCCUUGAGGAACAACAGCUGUGUGCUUCCUUCCUGUAACUUGGAAGAGCUGCAAAGAAAAGGAAAGCCAAAACAAACAAACAAACAACAAAAAGCCCAACCAUGCGAAAUGUGAAGAGUAAAAUCUGCCAGAUCCAAGGAGCCAUUGUACAGCUGGAGAUGAGCCAUAAAUCUGCAAAAGUUCCCUGUUCAUGCAAAGACCUGGUUGGAAUUGCUACACCCCUCCCACCCCUUCCUUCCCCAGGUGAAAUUUGUCCUGCAAUGUGCGACAGACCAGAAGAAAAGCACACACACUUUUCCUGGAAUUACGAUGCUUUAUAGACUUUCUGAUCAUGGGCAUCUCCCUCCUUGCUGAGCUCAUCCACCCGACCCCACCAAGACAAGCACUGAAAUUCAGGUUACCCCAGAUGAGGUCAGAGCAGGGAACCCCACGUUUCAGGAGGAGUUUGUGAGCUACCUGUCGGUUUUGGCUCCAGGGAGGAGGAUGUUAUAUGGCAACUGCCCUGUGCUAAAGAGUUGGUUAAAAAGCACCCCGGAAUAAAGCUCAGAACAGAAUGGAGAGCUGCCAGGAAGCAGACAGCUGCAGGAGGAAAUGGCAGAGAGCAUCCAUGUGGUGCCGGUGUGCCAAGGCCAAGGGCAGCAGCCAGCCCAGGAUGGGCAGCCGGACAUGAGAGCAUGGGGACGUGAUGACAGUCACUGAAGGCCCCGGGAGGGAGCAGUGGUGUGAGUGCAUCGCCUGUCUGUUGUGCCACUUGUUACAGCCUACCUGAUACACCUGGGAUUUUUAAAGUAUUUAGUUUCCGAGGGAUAUCCAGAUUUCAGGGACGGAUCCUGGAAGAACAUUCAGGCGGCAAUGACCUCUGACAUUUGGAAAGCCAAAUAACAGUGGAAUAAGUGGCUUAGAGAGAGUUAAGCAAGAGAGAAUGUUCCACCCCACACUGGCACGGUGCUCUGCUUCGCUCCACAUCUCUGCUUCUCCAUGAAGUCAUGCCCCUCAAUCCAGAAAGCUUCCAUCAGAAAUGCUCAGUACUGCGUGUUUAGUGUAAUACUUACACCCUGUCAAGACUUCCAAAGCACAACAAAUUAAUCUGGAAAUUCAGAUUGCUUCCGACAGGACUGUUGCAGGGAUAUAACAGGAGCUCUGCAGGGAGAAGGUGGGAUGAAGGCACUGAGAAUGAAUUGUUGCCCAGAGGGAUUGAUUGCCAUGGAGGAAAACCAGAAAAAGGAUAAAAAACAGCAACAAAAUGUGUAGUAAAGAAGGUGGAAACAGGAAACAAAUGGUGAAGUGAUACCAUGAUGCUCUACUGGCUCAAAAGCAAGAAAAAAUUAUGAAAGCAUUAAUUUAUUCAUUUUCAGCCAAAUGAAAACAAAACAAAACAAAAAAAUCAAAACAAAAAACUAGUACAUAAAAAGAGAAAAUAGACCAGAAGUUAGAACAUGUGAAGAAAAUGGGCAGCAAAGGAAGAGGAAAUGAAGAGUGGUGAAACAAGUGUUGGAAGAAAAGGAGUGGGGGUGAAGAAGCAACACAAAGAGAUCUGAUGCACAGGGCUUUUAGAGAUGCUUAGAAUCUUCAGCUGCUGAGAGCAGGGUCUUGUUGUACAAGAUGAUACAGAGGCACACAAUAAAGGACUGCUGGUCCCAGGAGCCUGGCAAGCUAAGCAAGGGGAGAGAAGAAAUAUCACCACUGUUUUACAAAUGGAAAUAUGGAAAACCAGAGCUCUGAGAAUCUGUGCAACUCAUUGCAGUGUCACACAGCAAUAUUGGCAAGGGAAUUCUGUCAAAGUCCAGAAUCAGUGCAUACUAAAGACCCUGUAAUCCUGGGGAAGCAGUAGCAAGCAGGGGGUAUUCACUCAAGACCAAGCAGUGGAGAAGCGCGUUGAUAUUUCCUGAAGACAAAAUAAACCGAGUGGAAAGUUCACUGUCUUCCUUUUGAAGAUGACUGAAGGUAGGAGGGGAGAUUGCCAGGACUGAGGGUGGGUGGCAGCAGGCACAGAGCUGCUUGCAGCCCCCAGACCUUCAAGGCCAUGGCAAACAUUUCCAACACAGCCUGCUGAAUUCUGUUUGCAAAACUGUUGAGCUAAACUCUUUACCAAUGCUGACUGCACUGCUGUAAUGCUGCCUUCUGACUUAAAACCAGUUUGGGCUAAUUGUUAAGGAUCAGAUAACAGGAAAAUAUUUCUAUUUGACAGUCUACUAUUUUUCAAUUGUUCCUCUGUUACAUAUCUAAGUAAACAUUUGUUCCACUUAUCAUUUCUGAGCAAAAGACAUGAAUCAUUUGACUAGUAAAACCACAACGACAGCUGUUGCUUAUUAGAAACAGUCAUCUUGUUCAAGGGCCUGCUAUGAAGGGGUUCUUCAGGAAACCGUUUCUGCUUUUAGUGCUUUACAGUGUAAUGAAAGCAGAGUUGCAGAAAUUAGGGCAUUUUUAUUUCACUCGUGAUUGGCAAAACACACAGGCACACACAAACAGAGCAGUUGUUACAGCUGAGCUAGAAGCCUGCAAGAAAAUGGAAAAUACUCACUGAAGAGUACUGCUAAUGAUGUAAUAUUAUCGUCUUUGCCUUACGGUUUUCUACAAUACAGGUCAAAGUGGGUUCUGAGGUUUCCUUUGUGAUUAGGUUAUAUCAUUUUGGAUUUGGGAUUUGGUAUUGGAUAAAUUCUGUAUACUAGUUAUAAAUCCUCUACCAGAUAUAUAUUUUUGCCUAGAUCUUAGGAACAAAUUAAUUCUGGAUUUGUAAAUACCCUUAGAAGCCAGUCACCAGUGAUGACAACAAUACUACUUUCAGAUAAAGCUUCUCCAGCCAGUGGUAGAAGGCAAAAAAAAAAAAAAAUAUAUAUAUAUAUAUAUAUAUAUAUUUUUUUUUUUUAAAAGUAAGAUCUGCAUAAGAGAAUGCUAUGAAAUUGUUUUUAAUUGAGUGGAAGAAAAAUAGGAAAGUAAAGCUGUGCCAGAAGGAAUUUGUGAAAUAAGUGAAACUGAGGCAGGUGAGAUGCAAAGAUUUUUCUUUCUAGGAUGUUGCUACAAAUGCCUUGUAGAGCAUAAAGGCAGAAAUGUGUUUAUUCCUGUGACUGCAUUAAAAAAAAAAAAAGUAUUCAACAGAUGUCCUAACACUUAGGCAUUUUUUCAGACAAAUCACUAGACUGACAAACCCAGUAUGAUGCCUUUAUCACUGGGUUUGAAGGGAGAAGCCAAUGAGCAUAGAGGCUGCACUGAUCCCAGCAGAAGAGAGGGGUGGGACAUUCAGAGCAAUUGAGAAAUACUACCAAGCAGUGUGCUCUGCUGGUAAAUAGGAGCAUUCGUGGUUUUGUGACUUUGUUGUUUAAAUGUGUUCCAAAACACUAAAUUCACUUGCAAAUAUUAAAGAAGAGUGGGGAAAAAAAAACAAUUGUGGGAUUAUGGCAAAAGAAAAGGAAAGUAGGACAGAGGAAUGGCAGAGAGAAGCUUCUAAGUGAGGAGACAAAGCUGAGGUUUAUUAUGAGUUAGAAAUCUGCAAAACUGUCACCAAUUCAGAAACUGCACUCAGCGAAGCUUCUAAAGAUCAUAUCCUGCCCUUCAUUCACCCUCGCAGCACUCACUGAUGGGAGUCAGCACUUCGCUGCAGCUGGGUAUUUAGAAGUCAUUUGUUCUGUGUAACAUGCCCGUUCUUACUAAUCUUAGUCAAGUAAGUAGUCCAUCCUCAUGUGUCAUCCCACGGAAGUCAAAUAUGCUAUUAGCAUAAGUGAUGAUUACUUAUCCGUGUGAGGUCUUGUGGGGUUGGGUCUUUCAGCAUUGGAAUACUUGACAUGGCAGUCUUUCUAUUAUAAUUUAAUAAAAUGGGGCCCAAUUCAGCUCAGAGAUGCCCUAGGGAGUCAGCUGGACUUAAAUGGUGCUUAGGCCUUUGACUGGACCUCUGCAAAGCCUGAAUUUCAUUGAGUGAAUACUAAUUACUCAGAAGGAGGGUUAUUAAAUUAUAGGCUCAGUUCUUUACUGUUGCUCAGAGCAUGGUACCUUUCGAGUGCUUGAGCGAGUUAAUGUACUGGACACAGAAGGUUCUGGUGAGAUUGCUUUCCUGAUAAAACAAGGAUUGAAGAAAUGUUGUUAAUAAUUAGAGUAUUUAUAGAUGUUGGCGAGCAAAUUUCAUUCCAUAAAAAUACUGUACAAUAAAAAACCGGACAGUAUAUAUUUACAUCAAAAUGAAAACCUCUCUUGGAGCUGUGUAGAUGGAAAAGGUCUAACAAAAUCUACCUCAAAGCCAGUGGAAAUCUUCCUAUUGAUUUUGAUGAGCUCUGAAUUAAGCCCUCACAGGACCAGCACACGCAGGGGCCUUGACACAUCACAGUCUUGGGUGACUGGGUGAGGCAGUGGAAUCAGUGAGCAGCUGGGACAUGGAACAGUUCCCCCAGCCAGCUGCCUUGUGCAAGGAGGAAUCAAUCAGUUCAUCUCUCGUGUCACAGGCUGAGCACAUGAUUUUUAAAGGAUUACUUGUAUGUCUAACAGCUGAUGUUCUCCCUCUUUUUAAUUUAUUUGUGUCUUAUUGUUCUUCACCUGCUUUCUGACCAGCUAUUGGCCUCAGAGUAGCUCCUGUUCUGUUUGAACCUUCAUUCUAAAACCCUGCAGGUUCUCAAAGCAUUUUCAUUGUACGUGAAUACUGUGGGACUUCCUUGUCACCUUUGUGACCAUCUCCUUAGUUCAUAGAUCUCCUGAUUCCUAAAGUGUAAUGGAGAAAGAAAAAUUUUGUAUCAUCUUUUCCUAACCAACUAGCUCCUGCAUCUGCUCUUUGCUGCACGCAAUCUGCUGUAGUUACAGAGAGCAUGACUAGUUCUCUCUGUGACCCCACAAGAUUUGAAACAAACAAACAAAACAAAACAGAUAUUUGAAAAUGUCUUCACUGAUAGGAGAAAAAAUAUUGCUGUUAAACUCAGAGGGUUUGGCACACUAGACUAUGAGUGAUAUAAUGGACCCGUUAUAGCAUUUGAUCUUUAUCUUUGCUUGCUAUUCCUAUUAAAACGAUUUGCUGGUUUUAUGUCUAUUUCACUUUCAGCUUCCCAAUCAGGUGUCCGGGAAAAAUUGCGUUCAUUAGCUGUUACAUAAAUUGUUUGCCAAAUCAUGCAUAUUAAAGGCAUAUAUGCAGAUCAGUCCUGUAACAUCACACAUAUAAAAUGUAUUUUAUACAGUGCAUCACUUAGACUUAUUGAAAGACUAAAAUCUGCAUACUAAAUGGCAGGUAUGCCCUCAGUAAAUUAACAGAGAAUCUUCAUUGUCAAUGUUAAUCAAACAGCACUUUAAAAACUCUUCUUUUAUCAUUGUCUCAACAGUGUUUUUCUCCUGUUAGAUUUAAAACCAAGCUCAGGCAUUUUUAAAGCUUAGAUCCCUUUGUGGACCAAUGCCCUCAUGCAACCCAAGAAAGAACGAGCCAACUCCAGCCAGCUGUAAUCCAUAUAGAAUCAAUAGGACUUUUUCUUAGUAAAAUUAAAAACUUUCCAGAAAAAAAAAAAAAGCAACAAUAAAACAAACCCCUUGCCUAAUCAGCUUUAAAAAGAUUCCAACAUCUUUACAUGUCAACCUGCAUGCUUAAAUUGAGGACUUUUUUAUUUACUAGCUGUCUGAGAACUUGAUUUUUCUUCAUUUUCCCAUUAGCGAGGCAGUUUAGGCAGCAGAAUUCCUGUAUUCCUCUCACUGGAGUAGCACAGAAAAAAAAUCAUUUGAUUCCAGCGGAUAGUAGUUGAUUUCAUUAUCGUAUUAGAGAAAAUAAAGAUUACAAUUCCGAAUUACUUUGCCUGCAGUCCACACACUAACCAUAUAAAUGGCAAUAUGUGGAAAAGUUGACUACAUCAUAAAAAAUUAACUUCCUGCAAGGAUUUUCUUGAAUUGGUUUCAAAAGAAUCCUCCAUUUGGCAUCUUUCCUGUACUGAAUUUCUGGAGGGUAACUGCAUUAUGUGCAUGUAAAACAUGAGAAAGGAAACGUUCACUGAACUCCUUCUUUCUGUUACCAAAUGUGACUGUAGUACGUUGUUUGCGUUUAAAAGAGUUGCCUCAAAGCUAAAUUCUGUGAUUAUGCGCCUAUAUGUGCGUGCAUUAUAAGAUAACCACUAACAGAAAGUGAAACACUGUUCUCUUUCACUUGCUGCUGAGUGACAAAGGUCGCACUUAAUGAUAAUUUGAAUAUUCUGCCAGCAGCUGAUGAUAUUCUGUCCCUGCCAAACUAACUAAAUAAAUAAAUAAAUGCUUCCCUCUCCUACAGUAAAUGCCCUGUAAGUCUAUAGAAAACAAAUUAGGAAUGCGUUAUUCUCAAUGAAAAAAGUCUCCAUGAGAGGUAUCAUUUUAUUUUUUUUUAGUGCACGGAAUAACAUAAAUCAAAAGAAGCAAUAGUCUACCUUGUGUUUUGACUAGUUUGACCCUCUUCAACCCCUGCCAAUUUUUAUCUCAUUUUUGUUUAACUUUGUACAUCAGAGUUUAAUUUUAAACCUGGUCCUGAAGACAGUGAUGUAUAGGGUACAUCAAGUAUAGCUUAAAUUACCCUCUCCCCAGUGAUUUGAAGUUGAGGGGAGGGUCCUACUCCACAGCAGGGUGGGAAAGAGAAAUGGUCAGAUGUUGCCCUUUGAACCUGACCACCCUCAGCUACAGAAACGUUUAUGCCAGAACAUCAUUUAUUGAUUUUAUUAUAUUUUAGGAUCUCUUAAAACUGUUGGUGAAGUUUGCCGUAUAUUAAUUUUUGACACAUGCAUAUAAAAACAGAAAUACGGGUUGAGCAGAAACUAUAAAUAUAGACAACACUGCCCAAUAAACUUACAUCCUUUCACUUACAGGUUUCCAUUUCAGCCAAUCCUUCCAAGCAGUCUGUCUUUGGAAAUAAAUGUUACCCCUCUGAUAAGCUAACCAAUUUGAAGAUUAAAGCUGCAUUUGAGGAUUAAAGUUUUUCUUAUUUGA